CCUACGGGUGGCUGCAGUGAGGAAUAUUGGUCAAUGGACGAGAGUCUGAACCAGCCAAGUAGCGUGAAGGAUGACUGCCCUAUGGGUUGUAAACUUCUUUUAUAAAGGAAUAAAACGAGGCACGUGUGCCUUUUUGUCUGUACUUUAUGAAUAAGGAUCGGCUAACUCCGUGCCAGCAGCCGCGGUAAUACGGAGGAUCCGAGCGUUAUCCGGAUUUAUUGGGUUUAAAGGGAGCGUAGAUGGGUUGUUAAGUCAGUUGUGAAAGUUUGCGGCUCAACCGUAAAAUUGCAAUUGAUACUGGCAGUCUUGAGUACAGUUGAGGUAGGCGGAAUUCGUGGUGUAGCGGUGAAAUGCUUAGAUAGCACGAAGAACCCCGAUUGCGAAGGCAGCUUACUAAACUGUGACUGACAUUGAUGCUCGAAAGUGUGGGUAUCAAACAGGAUUAGAUACCCCGGUAGUC
rnacentral:rRNA from 1 species